rnacentral:tRNA from 2 species
GGGUCGUUAGCUCAGCUGGUAGAGCAGCGGACUUUUAAUCCGUUGGUCGCAGGUUCGAUCCCUGCACGACCCACCA